ensembl:lncRNA
GGGUAAUUGUAGGGGUUGUUGUUGGGGUAAUGGUAAGGGUUGUCGUUGGGGUAAUGGUAAGGGUUGUCGUUGGGGUAAUGGUAGGGGUUGUUGUUGGGGUAAUGGUAGGGGUUGUUGUUGGGGUAAUGGUAAGGGUUGUUUGGGGUAAUGGUAAGGGUUGUCGUUGGGGUAAUGGUAGGGGUUGUUGUUGGGGUAAUGGUAGGGGUUGUUGUUGGGGUAAUGGUAAGGGUUGUCGUUGGGGUAAUGGUAAGGGUUGUUGUUGGGGUAAUGGUAGGGGUUGUGGUUGGGGUAAUGGUAGGGGUUGUUGUUGGGGUAAUGGUAGGGGUUGUCAUUGGGGUAAUGGUAGGGGUUGUUGUUGGGGUAAUGGUAGGGGUUGUUGUUGGGGUAAUGGUAGGGGUUGUUGUUGGGGUAAUGGUAGGGGUUGUUGUUGGGGUAAUGGUAGGGGUUGUUGUUGGGGUAAUGGUUGUUGUUGG